rnacentral:rRNA from 1 species
GGCGAAGUCACUGAUACCACGCUUCCAGGAAAAGCUCCUAAGCUUCAGCUUACGCAGACCGUACCGUAAACCGACACAGGUGGGUAGGAUGAGAAUUCUCAGGCGCUUGAGAGAACUCGGGUGAAGGAACUAGGCAACAUGGCACCGUAACUUCGGGAGAAGGUGCACCCUUUUUGGUGGCUCAUGCGAGCUAUAGCUGAAGAGGGUCGCAGUAACCAGGCCGCUGCGACUGUUUAUCAAAAACACAGCACUCUGCAAACACGAAAGUGGACGUAUAGGGUGUGACGCCUGCCCGGUGCUGGAAGGUUAAUUGAUGGGGUCAGCCGCAAGGCGAAGCUCUUGAUCGAAGCCCCAGUAAACGGCGGCCGUAACUAUAACGGUCCUAAGGUAGCGAAAUUCCUUGUCGGGUAAGUUCCGACCUGCACGAAUGGCGUAACGACAGCGGCGCUGUCUCCACCCGAGACUCAGUGAAAUUGAAAUCGCUGUGAAGAUGCAGCGUUCCCGUGGCAAGACGGAAAGACCCCGUGAACCUUUACUAUAGCUUUACACUGAACGUUGAGUUCGUCUGUGUAGGAUAGGUGGGAGGCUAUGAAACCAUGGCGCUAGCUGUGGUGGAGCCAUCCUUGAAAUACCACCCUGUCGUGCUUGACGUUCUAACCUGGGCCCAUUAUCUGGGUCGGGGACCGUGUAUGGUGGGUAGUUUGACUGGGGCGGUCUCCUCCUAAAGAGUAACGGAGGAGCUCGAAGGUACGCUCAGCGCGGUCGGACAUCGCGCACUGUGUGCAAAGGCAUAAGCGUGCUUGACUGCAAGAUCGACGGAUCAAGCAGGUAGGAAACUAGGACUUAGUGAUCCGGUGGUUCUGUAUGGAAGGGCCAUCGCUCAACGGAUAAAAGGUACUCCGGGGAUAACAGGCUGAUACCGCCCAAGAGUUCAUAUCGACGGCGGUGUUUGGCACCUCGAUGUCGGCUCAUCACAUCCUGGGGCUGUAGUCGGUCCCAAGGGUAUGGCUGUUCGCCAUUUAAAGUGGUACGCGAGCUGGGUUCAGAACGUCGUGAGACAGUUCGGUCCCUAUCUGCCAUGGGCGUUGGAGAUUUGAGAGGGGCUGCUCCUAGUACGAGAGGACCGGAGUGGACGAACCUCUGGUGUUCCGGUUGUCACGCCAGUGGCAUUGCCGGGUAGCUAUGUUCGGAAGCGAUAACCGCUGAAAGCAUCUAAGCGGGAAGCGCGCCUCAAGAUGAGAUCUCCCGGGGCACAAGCCCCCUGAAGGAACCAUGUAGACUACGUGGUUGAUAGGUCAGGUGUGUAAGU